UACGUAGGCAGCGAGCGUUGUUCGGAAUUACUGGGCGUAAAGAGUGUGUAGGCGGUGCUCCCAGUCUGUUGUGAAAUCUCCCGGCUUAACUGGGAGGGUGCAGCGGAAACUAGAGUGCUAGAGGGUGGGAGAGGUAAGCGGAAUUCCUGGUGUAGCGGUGAAAUGCGCAGAUAUCGGGAAGAACACCCGUGGCGAAGGCGGCUCUCUGGGACAGUACUGACGCUGAGACGCGAAAGCGUGGGGAGCGAACAGG
rnacentral:rRNA from 1 species